UGUACUGUUGCUGGACUUUCAUUGU
rnacentral:piRNA from 1 species